rnacentral:rRNA from 1 species
AGGGUUUGAUCCUGGCUCAGAACGAACGUUAGCGGUGUGGAUUAGGCAUGCAAGUCGCGCGCGAAAGCCUUCGGGUGAGUAAAGCGGCGCAAGGGUGAGUAACACGUAAUCAACCUACCCCUCAGAUCGGAAUAACCACUGGAAACGGUGGGUAAUGCCGAAUGGCCCUGUACCGGGACUCCUGGAACAGGUAAACGGUGGCUUCGGCUGCUGCUGGGGGAGGGGGUUGCGGCCUAUUAGCUUGUUGGUGGGGUAAUGGCCCACCAAGGCGAUGAUGGGUAGCCGGUCUGAGAGGACGACCGGUCACACUGGGACUGAGACACUGCCCAGACUCCUACGGGAGGCUGCAGUCGAGAAUCUUCCGCAAUGGGCGAAAGCCUGACGGAGCGACACCGCGUGCAGGAUGACGGCCUUAGGGUUGUAAACUGCUGUCACGCCAUAGGAAUGGCCUAUCGUUAAUAGCGGUAGGUUUGACUAAAGCGAAAGGAAGCACCGGCUAACUCCGUGCCAGCAGCCGCGGUAAUACGGAGGGUGCAAACGUUGUUCGGAAUCACUGGGCAUAAAGAGCACGUAGGCGGCUUGUUAAGUUGGGUGUGAAAUCCCUCGGCUCAACCGAGGAACUGCAUCCGAUACUGACAGGCUAGAGGACGGUAGGGGCAAGUGGAACUCCAGGUGGAACGGUGAAAUGUGUAGAUAUCUGGAGGAACGCCGGUGGCGAAAGCGACUUGCUGGACCGUAUCUGACGCUGAGGUGCGAAAGCUAGGGUAGCGAACGGGAUUAGAUACCCCGGUAGUCCUAGCCGUAAACGAUGGGCACUAGGCA